rnacentral:lncRNA from 1 species
CACUGCAGUGCCCACUUUAUAAUCCACCAACUAAUAAAAUCACAAUAGUAUGACAUGGCUCACUUAACACAUUCAAGGCAAAUCAAAAUAGUUCACAUAUUCUUUAAAUCAUAAAAAUAACCAGUCAUACCCACAUUUAUCAUAAGCCAUUUAAUGUAAAAUCAUGGAUAAACAACACAAUCAUAGUAUAGGUCUCCAAUUACUCUAUUUUUG